GCCUAACAGUAAACAAGACGCCUACUCAGGCGUUCACUCCGGGUACAGGGCCUUAACUAAGCGCAAACUACUUUAACGGAGGGUCCUGAAGGGGUAAAAUGGGAACUGGGAUUGAUCUAUUUUUAGACUGGGAAAAUGGGAUUUGGGUUGCUGGGACUGGGAUUUGGCCACUGGGAAUGGGAAAUGAAGUCCUCAAAAAUGGGAAUGGGAUUGAGGUAAUGCGAGUCGACUCCCAAUUUUUCUACGUUUUAAGUAUUUUAAAAUACACUUUUGAACCGUUUUUGGUGUCUUUGGUCAUGAUUUUUGUUGUUAACUAUAUUAUUCACAGCACUACCUGCGAACAGGCAUACUCUGGCGCCCGGAAUUGCAAAUGCCAUUUCCGGGAUUCAAAUUUAAAAACUUUCCGUGCCUUCGGAACGAGUCCCCCCCCCCCCCAAUGUUUCAUAAAAUGUCCACCACUUGCACACACGGUGGCUUAAAAGGUCUUAAAACUGUUUAUUCUACCGAUAAAUAAAGGGUUUUUUAUUGACUUGGAUUUCAUUAACCCGGACUGGGAUUUCUAAUAAAAAUCCAACUGGGACUGGGAUUUUGCCAAAAUUUCAGGUGGGAAAUGGGAUUGGGACCCCGCCUUCAGGACCCUCUCAACGUAUGCUUAUAAACGGCAAUGAAGGUAUCUUUAAUGCAUGAUAUUUAGCAUAUUAAAGUUGGAAAAGUGGGAGAACUACAGUGUAACCACUUCACCAGGUGACUAAAAACAUAUGCAACGAUCAUAAUAUUUUACAAC